GCCUAGCUGGCUCAGUUGGUAGAGCAUGCAAGUCUUGAUCUUGAAGGCGUGAGUUCAAGCCCCACAUGUGGCA
rnacentral:tRNA from 1 species